rnacentral:lncRNA from 1 species
CGCAGAUGCCUGGAAAGCAGAAGCCAGAGGAAUGCCAGCUAGAGAGACAUCAAAGUCAGCCACGCCCCCAAAAGCAUGGCUCUGACCUAGCUCUCUUAUUUUCAAACCUCUCUUCCCUUCCCAGGCAAGACGGUAAACUUGGUCUCUUAAAGCUGGUUUCUUCAAUGACUAGUAGAACAUAGAGAUUCCAUCUUCUACUGAACACAGAAGUCAUUUCCAAUACUCGCUGUGGAAAUUCCCUGUCUCUCUGCUUCCCAGAUGCUGGUAUUACAGUCAGGCUCUGGACUCCACGAAGAGCUGCUGUUACAGAUAUGCACGAUGCCUGGCUUAAGAUCACAGUUUGUACUCAGCAUGAAUGACAUGUCUGUAAAUCAGGACAGCCGAUACCGUUAUGGUGCGGAAGCUUGUAGGAAGACUUCCUAGACAAAGAAAAUGGCUGUCAAUUACUGAAGGAGUACAUACAUGGCCAUCCCAGACUCUCUUGUCUAGGUCUUAGAUUCUACCAUGCAUUUUACAUAUACAGCACAGCUCAUAUCAUCUCGACACUGCAUCUCCAUAGGACUGCUGGAAAGUGCUGCUGUGCAUCGUGGAGCGGCUUAGGGUCUCAGGAAAGCAGUAGGGAGCUGUAAUCUGAAUAACCCAGAGCUCAGUGGAAAAGAGGCUUAUGGAGGAGGGCUAAAGAUAAAAGAGGCAGAUUAGACAGGAAGAACCACAACUUGGGCUUGCUGGGCAGCAGGUGGCAGACAUGAUUGAAGACAGACAGUCCUAGGCUUUAGGGCCAUGUAACCAAAACACUUGAGAGAAAACUACAUACAAGAAUGUACUGCUGUCAGCCAUGUGACAAUGCCCAUGUCUUAAGAUGUGUGGGUUCAGAAAGAAGUGAUGUGCUUGACACAGGAUCCAGCCAUAACCCCAUGUGUCCUGAACAUCAAGACUGUGAGGCCAAGUUGAGCUUAGCUUCUAACACCAGAUGCACUAAUGACUGGAGCAGGCCAGUCAUAAAACAGACCAGGAAAGAAACAUAUACAUCAAGUUAGAUGAGCACCAGCCAAUUAGAAAGGGAGGCGACUGGGACAGCUCUGGGAAGAGGAGAAAAGAGCAGAGCCAAGGGUUCUACAUCCAGACUUGGACCAGAUCGCUGUGUUGGAGUUAUGUAUGGGUCUGUUCCCCUUGUUUCAAUGUUUAGAGACAGAGAAGGGGCCGACCCAGCACUACACAAGAGAAUGCUAACAUCCACCGGGGGAAGGGGCAGAGGGGAGGGGUGGGCAGAUGCUGUUUGGGAUUGAUCUUUGUGUGCAUGAACAUGUUCUACUUCAUCCCACAAUGCCUGGUGUGCAGUGUCACAUUCCACAUUAGACCAGCAUAGAAGACCCAUAACAAAAGUACUAGGAGCAGUGGGACCUGGCGGUGCAUGUCCACUGUCAUUGUCAGUCCUUAAGGAAUUAUGGCAGGAGGAGCAUGAGUUCAAGGCUGGCCCAGGCUAUGUAAAGAAAAGCAUGUAUCAAAAUGAAAAGGUUAUGUGCUCAAGGAUGAAAUAAAAUGUGGAAACAGAUGUGAGCAAAGGGGGUUGCAGCAAAUGCUAGAACUGGGAUCAUCUUGCAGCCCAGUUUCCCACUGCUUCCUGUCGGAGCACAGAACUGCUGGGUCCAACAGCUGAUGCUUGCAGCUCAGAAGGGGAGGGGCACCAGGUUUCUAGGAAACUGAGGCAGACACAGGAAGACAAUUGACAGCUUUCCUCAGCUGGCUGGUGGCAAGACAGGGAUCCAGCCCCGCCAACUCCAUAUUUCACAGUACCUGAUCCAGAGGUGGGACUCCCCAAAUUGCCCCCACAAAUGA